GAGGAUGACGCCCAGACAUGGAGAGGAACAUCAGCAACUCAAGAAAAAUGAAGCAAGACAAGCUGGAGAAGCUCGCACGGACAUCCAAUUUCUUGUACCACUCAACUGAGCCGAGUUACUUGUGGAGACUAUAAGAAGAAUUUUUAGGAAGAGUUCGAUCAAGAAGAGCAAGGCUGACACCCAUAGUUGUUUGGCAUCAAAUUCAGAAGAUACACAUCCUAAGAUUGAAGCAAUGCUACCUGAACCAAAGGGUUGUACGCCCACCAUUAUUAAUAUUCC